rnacentral:rRNA from 1 species
UACACUCCUACGGGAGGCAGCAGUGGGGAAUAUUGGACAAUGGGCGCAAGCCUGAUCCAGCCAUGCCGCGUGAGUGAUGAAGGCCCUAGGGUUGUAAAGCUCUUUCACCGGUGAAGAUAAUGACGGUAACCGGAGAAGAAGCCCCGGCUAACUUCGUGCCAGCAGCCGCGGUAAUACGAAGGGGGCUAGCGUUGUUCGGAUUUACUGGGCGUAAAGCGCACGUAGGCGGACUAUUAAGUCAGGGGUGAAAUCCCGGGGCUCAACCCCGGAACUGCCUUUCAUACUGGUAGUCUUGAGUUCGAGGGAGGUGAGUGGAAUUCCGAGUGUAGAGGUGAAAUUCGUAGAUAUUCGGGGGAACACCAGUGGCGAAGGCGGCUCACUGGCUCGAUACUGACGCUGAGGUGCGAAAGCGUGGGGAGCAAACAGGAUUAGAAACCCCAGUAGUCC